GAUGAAGAACGCAGCGAAAUGCGAUAAGUAGUGUGAAUUGCAGAAUUCAGUGAAUCAUCGAAUCUUUGAACGCACAUUGCGCCCCUUGGUAUUCCAUGGGGCAUGCCUGUUCGAGCGUCAUUUGUACCUUCAAGCUCUGCUUGGUGUUGGGUGUUUGUCUCGCCUCUGCGUGUAGACUCGCCUCAAAACAAUUGGCAGCCGGCGUAUUGAUUUCGGAGCGCAGUACAUCUCGCGCUUUGCACUCAUAACGACGACGUCCAAAAGUACAUUUUUACACUCUUGACCUCGGAUCAGGUAGGGAUACCCGCUGAACUUAAGCAUAUCAAUAACCGGAGGA
rnacentral:misc_RNA from 1 species